rnacentral:rRNA from 1 species
UACGAAGGGGCUAGCGUUGCUCGGAAUCACUGGGCGUAAAGCGCACGUAGGCGGAUUGUUAAGUCAGGGGUGAAAUCCUGGAGCUCAACUCCAGAACUGCCUUUGAUACUGGCGAUCUCGAGUCCGGGGAGAGGUGAGUGGAACUGCGAGUGUAGAGGUGAAAUUCGUAGAUAUUCGCAAGAACACCAGUGGCGAAGGCGGCUCACUGGCCCGGUACUGGACGCUGAG